AUAAUGGUGGGACCCGAUUACUAUGGGGUGACGCCUUUUAUAAGAGGCAGAGUCAGUGAAGACCUUCUCGUUUUGUAGCACACAGGGAAGAGGCCACAGAGGCCACAGAAGAAAGGAAGCUGUCUGAAUGCCAGGAAGAGAAGACUCAUACAAAUACAUCCUGACUAAUAUGGGCUUACAGCCAUUCCAGAUUCUCUCCACGAGGCUGGUUUUCAUCUUCCUAUAGUGUUACAAGCAUGAUGUCGCUCUCAAUGACUCCUUUGUAGAAAGAGCACAGAGAAGCCAGUGAGAAGCACAUCAAGUUGCUAAAACAGUUCAAACUAUUUUACUGACAUCAGCUCAGCAUGAAAAAAUGAAGUCUGUGAGACAGAGACUGUCCUAGUGGACUAAAGGAAAAUACUACAAUAGCAGAAAAUGAGGAAUUCUUUUGCUUGCCAAAUACAGCCACAAGAUUGAAAUGAAGCCUCAGCUCAACAGCUCAAGCAGGUGCAUUCAGUGCUACUUUUUAUAUAAAAUUCACAUCUUCUCUUUCAUUUGAGGAAAUCCAGCAUAGAGUUGGUUUUCCAGUUACAAAAGGAGACUUAUUUUUCUACAUUUUGAACACUGAGGAUGAGAUUCCACUCUGAUCGUGGUGUGAAUAUAAACCAGGAGGAUGCUGACUAGGUGACCAGGUCCCCAGACAAGACUCCGACCACAAGCUUCAGUGACCCUGCUUGGCAGAGCACAGCAUCCAAUACUAAAAGUAAAUAUAAAGCCAAAGAGAUUACAGGAAAGUCAUCUUGAGGCCCGUGCCAUGGGCCUUGUAAGCAGAAGCACUUCUCUCCUCCCCUACAAGCUUCCAUAUUUCUUUCUGAAGCACUGUUUAAACCUCUAGGCACAUCAUAACUUCAAGAUCCCUUCAAAAGGGUGAGGAUUAACAUGAAAGAAAGACAUACACAGGAUACAGUGUGCCAUCUACUUUGAGAAAAAUCUACUCUGUGGCUCUUUGGGAGUCAUCCAUACCCUACUAUAUUAUCCAGUAUAAAACACAAAACACGUUCCAACCUCAGGCAUUAAGAUGAAUAUUUAGCAACUGUCUGGAAUAAACUCCAACAGCAGCAGUGGCUCCAACAGCCUCUGUAGCUGACACUAAUUUAUUGAGAUGUAUUGGGAGCUCUUGAGAAUGAAGAGUCUGCUAAUUAGGCCACCACAAAAAAAGUUCCCAAACUUCGACAAACUUCAGGCAAACAUCUGAUGAAGAACUUUGAUUUAUGAGCUGUCCAGGUGAAACCAAAACAGAUGGUAUCUUUUAAUAAUAACUGACAUAUGAGUUUGUUAAGAAAUUGAAUGGCUUGAAAAUAUGCUGCUUGGUAUAGGAAAAUGAAGAAAGUAUUCAGAGUCAUCUACCUUAUCUUUGUCUUCAACAACAUCUGCUAAGACAUCAUCCGGAUCCAGGAUUCCUCCAUCUGUGUAUUCUAAGUGAUGAAUCUUCACCCAGUAUCCAGGAUCCUGUGGUGGAACAAGCAAAUCUGAUGACUCAAUCUAUUUCUACCAAAGUAAGACACAUUUUAACAGAGAUGAUUAAUCUCAAUAAAGAUACGGUAUAUUGAUUGUUAUAGCUAUGGUUCCUAUUGCUGUGAGAAAAUACCAUAUCCAAAACUAAAGUGAGGAGUCAAAGGUUUAGUUUGUCUUACAACUCUCAAGCCACAAUUAGUCACUGAUGGAAGUCAAAGCAGACACUCAACAGGACUGAAGUCUGGAAGCCGGACCUGAAGUCGGACACUGUGAAGCAGUGCUGCUUACUGGCUUGCUCCCCAGAGCUUGCUCGGCCAUAGCUUGCUUCUUAUGGCACUCAGAACUACCUGCCCCAGAGGAAGGUGCCCUUAGUGAGCUCGGCCCUCCUACAGUAAUAAAUAAUCAAGAAAAAGUACUACUGGCCUUCCUACAGGCCAAUCUUAUAGAGAUAUUUUUCUCUAUCAAAGUCCCUCUUCUCACAUAUAUCUAGAGUUGUGUCAAGUUGGAACACCAAUAAAACUUUUAAGGUUUGAAGAAGGGAGAAAUACAGCACAGCCAUCCUUCCAAGUAAGUAUGAUGUUGUGUGUAGUAUAAGGGUAAAACUGAUAGUGCGAUAGAAGGAUUGAGAGCAUGAACAACAGUUCUCAGUGUUGGUCAUAGACAGGCAGAGGGACUCAGAGCAUGAACAACAGUUCUCAGUGUUGGUCAUAGACAAGCAGAGGGACUCAGAGCAUGAACAACAGUUCUCAGCGUUGGCCAUAGACAGACAGACAGAUUCAGAGCAUGAACAACAGAAUCAU
rnacentral:lncRNA from 1 species